CUUCAGUCCCAUCAGUCCACCCAACACCAUUUCCUGCCUAAUAUGAAUUUUCUUCCGUUCCUCCGUCACCACAAAUCCUCUGGCCACUAGUACAUCAGGAAGAUUGUUUGUGUCCUCCUCAGUGAAGACGGAUCCAAAGUCCCAGUUCAACUCAUC